rnacentral:rRNA from 1 species
UACGUAGGGCGCAAGCGUUAUCCGGAAUUAUUGGGCGUAAAGAGCUCGUAGGCGGUUUGUCGCGUCUGCCGUGAAAGUCCGGGGCUCAACUCCGGAUCUGCGGUGGGUACGGGCAGACUAGAGUGAUGUAGGGGGAGACUGGAAUUCCUGGUGUAGCGGUGAAAUGCGCAGAUAUCAGGAGGAACACCAGUGGCGAAGGCGGUGCUCUGGGCCGGUACUGACGCUGAGGAGCGAAAGCGUGGGUAGCAAACAGG